AGUGCCCCGUACUAUUUUUCUCCGAGUAUUUGGGUUUGCAUUUUCAAGUGGGCUUGCAGCUCGGGGCUGGCUGAGGCUUGCUGGGUGGAGCCAGAGAGGGGAAACUCGAGCUUAAACCCGGGUAACACGGAUAUUCUGAGUUCGGAGAUCCUCCAACUGCAGCAGCUGGCGGAGGACUUGAACCCGUCGGUGCUUUCUCAGGGAUUGCGGAAUGAUCUGAAAGCAGCUUUGGAUAAGAUCGAGCUGCAGUAACUGAACGAACGUGUGGGUGGUCAGGAACCUGGAGAGGAAGACACACAGAAUGAUUUGGAGUUUCAUUUAAAAAAACACCCCGUGGAAGAGUUAGAGUUCCUUCUCAAUCGAAUGCCAGAGAAGAUGGUCUGGAAGAUGCAGUGUGCAGGUACCCAGUGCAGGGAAGCUGACCAGUGCUGCCUAGAAACAGGCCGAACCCUGUCUCAGACCCCUUUUCAGAAAGCUUCGGAAAAGAGUGAGGCUAGUGAUGCUUAUCUUCAGGUGGCCAUUGCCCCAUGGCGCGGUCCUGGCACUAGCCAUGCCAGAGCUGGGAGGGAAAGGAUGUUCCCCAAGAUGCCGCGCAUGUUCUGAAUGGUGAAGCAGAGUGGAAGUGUGUUCAGUGCCUGCAGACAAACGUGGCACAUCAAGGUGGCUGACGCUGCUGUAAGCAUAUGGGCCCCCUGGGAGCUGGUAUUGUUUUCGACCCUGCUUUGCCUAGUAGACACUUUGGUAGCACUGCUGGAACUUAAGGUGCUAUCUCAAGGCUUCAUGGACAAGAAACACAGUGACCUCAGAACUCACGUCACUGGUCAGGCGAUCCAGGAACGCUGCGUCGUCGCACCUGUGCCUCAGAGGCCGCACUGCCCCUGCCGUCCUCAGGACGUGUGGCAUCAUUAGACCCCAAUUUGCUCUCAAAAGUUUAAGAAGCCUGUGCUGAACAAGAAUCCAUCCUGACAUCUGAUUCCCCUCAUGACCUACCUUCUGGAGAAUACCACUCCCGAAAAAGUCGUAAACUUAAAGGACUCCCUCUUCCUGUGUUGGGAAGACCUUUCCUGGUACUGCUCACCAGUUCCUGUGCAGCCAACCUUGAAGGCAUCUAUGUCUAAUUCAAGGAGUCACAAGACCUAAAGGGACCAGGAAAGCCAUCGGUGAUCUCAAACUCAGAAUCUUCGAACAGCCAGAGCAGGCAACACUGGAUGUGGACAGCUAUCCCAAACACCUGACCAGGCCUCAGAGUAUGACAGCUUGAUUUCGACCACUGUUCUCCUUUACUGUGAAAAUCACAAGGAGGGAAACGGACUCUUCUACUUUUCUCUUCCUAUUGGUCCUUGAUUAUGUAUGUAUAUGUAAUGCCCUUGUCUGUAUCUCCCAGGUGGCUGCCAAGGGUUGUAACCUUCCAGGCUGCUGGAUUUGCCACCUAAAACUCCGUGUCUCCUGUGAUGUAGGACACCCUGGUCCUUCCUAUAACUGGUUUUUCUUCUGUCCCUACUGCCACCAUAAACAAUACCCUAACUCCCUUGGGGGUCAGCUACAGUGUGUACUUCUGCUGCCAGCCUCCCUCUGUGUCGUUUUUCCCCUUUAUACUUCCCCAGUUAGACAAAAAUACCUGUGCACACCGUAGUACACUUGUGACCCCCAAGUUACUAUUAUGUAACUCAAACCUGUCCUGGUGACAAAAACACCUUACCAGGAGCAUCCACCUUUGCAAGGAAUUUUAGGCUGGGAGGUCUAGUUCCCAGGGGCACUGAAACCCUAAGCUAUCUUAGGCUGGCACAUAACUGGGCACUGCUUCUUAGGUUAUACACUAUACCCCCAACCGUCCACAACCUGUCCACAGAAAACUGAGCUACUGCACCAAUCAACUCUGCUGAAUUUAAAUCAAGUUAAGGUAGGACUUACCAGGAGCAUUGAGGAUUCACUUCCUUUGGGAGAUCCCUACUUGUCUGGUGAAGAGUGAGUACAAAAUGAGGCUCUGAGCACAAAACCCUUUACGCCUUGGCAACAUCACCCACCCUACACCAGAGUCUUAGCUGCCCAACAAAACCACCUGGACUCUCCAGCUAGAGCUGUCCUUGACGACAGGACAGUCCUUGAUUACCUUGUCCCUGAACAAACAGGUGUCUAGUCUGCGCCACUUGUACUUGGGUACAGUUUUGGGAAACUUGAGAUUCAAUUAUAUAAAAUUCAAGGUCAAGCACAAUCUAAUCUGACUCACCUUGUAAUUUUGAUUUAUUCAGCUGGUUACUGGUAGGAUUGGGCUCGUGGGUUACAAUUUGGGUUUUCUAUUUGUCAUUUUGUUUCGAUUUUUAAUCAGUUGUUGUCUUUGUAAAAAUAACAAACAUGAUAGAUUAAUGCUUGCCCAGUGUUUCAUACUGAUGCCUCGAUCCUCUACUCUGAUCCAUUACAGGAAGUUGCUCAAAUGUGGCCUUUUAGAUGCUAACAACCCUGAAAACUUAUCUCACCCUGAAGGAAGAUGUCUAGUCAUGGCAUCAUGGGGAGAAAUAAACAAAAUGGGUGGAGUCCAUGCAGAAGAAAUGCCCAGUGAUAAACUGAGUGAUCAACACCCCAUAACAAGGACUCCAUCCAAAAGAACUUCUAGCUCUUCUCAACUCCCCAGCCACCAAGACUGUCCAUCCCCACAUCUGGACUUCCUUGUUCCCGACUCAGCUACUUUGACUCAAAGGGACCGCAUUUUGGAAAGCAGGACCGUGCGGCAUUUGGGAGUAUAUACACCUGUCACUCAGAAAUCUUGGAAGGAAAUCAUCAGAGAUUUUCCCAUGCUCCUGGAUCAACUCUGACUGUGGUGCUUUGAAACCUACACUGCACGAUGCUUUGCUUUUCAUGGGCAGGUCACUACGUGAGUAAAAGUAUCUGCCAAGUAUUUGCAUGUAUGUAGAGCCUGGGGAGAUCUAAAAUACACUCUGGGGUCUUUUCUGGGAAGUAGCGUAAGAAUCUCUAACAUCUGAUAUAAAAACAUACAUAUAAACAUUUCGUUCCACAGGUAUCUAGAAAUCAGACAUAAAAACAAUGGCUUCCACACCAUGCAGAUGUUUCCUUCUGGGAAUUAUGAUAUGGGCAAGGGCAACACAUACGCAACACAUCUGAGACCACAAACUCAUAAGCAGUGAAGGGGGAAGAGCUGUAAGAACAAAACAUUCCCUUACGAUACCUCUACUCAUCAGUACUUUGGUGAGUUGGAGACUCAGACCCGUCCAUAAUGGGCGAGUGUUCUGUUGCUUCUCUGAACAAAGGAAAGCAGAAGGAGGAAGAGAAGAGAGGUCACGUUAAAGAGAGGAACCGACACAGACACGAUUUGCAGCUCAUUGAAACACUGGAAAGGCCAGCUGAAUACACACCUGAGUGUUAGUGACAAGUAAGUCAUGCAGAACUUUCACCCCCGUGAGUGAGUCAGAAGACCUCUCUAGUCUGUUAGGAAGGCAGGCUUUGGCACUUUCUGCCCAUUUCUCAUUUUCUUGUCGCAUCAUAGAGAAUAGUUGUUAAUGAUAAUUUAACUCAGUCUGAUUAAAAAGUUUUACUGCAAGGACCAAAAUAGCUUUUUGUUUCAAAUCUCUCGAGUCCUCACUGGCUGUAUGUGGUGAAACACGAGCAGGGUUGAAGACCCCGUGAAGGGCACUUACACAUUUCAGAGCCUGCAGUCGGGUAAAUAAAUCUGUUUGGGUCCUGUGAGACUGGGGUGAUCCAGAAAAUUCGGAGGAUCCAGAGAGAGAGCCGGGAACCUGGAGUCCCUUAUUCAGAUGAAAUGGUUUACCACUGGGGGUGCCACAGAUACAGAAGAUGGGUGGUUUUUAUGAGUCGGUCUUGGUGAGACUCCCGGGCACUAGGCCUACUAGCAGCUGCCCGGCCGCACAAGCUAGAGCUGGGGUGUGGAUGGUAAGGGAGUGUUUUCAGGAUCUGCAAUAAGGACAGAAGGGAAGUUGCUGCCCCCAAACAGACCCAGAAGUGGGAGUGGACAUAAGAACACUGUCAAACUUUAGUGGGCAUCAGAAUACCCUGGGGGGUUUGCUAAAACACAGACACCAGGCCCCACCGCGAGACUUUUUGACUCAGUAGGCCACGGAUGGGCCCAAAAACGUGCACUUCUAACAAGAUCCCCCAUGAUGCUGCUGGUCUGGGGGCUGCACUUGGAGCACCACUGGCCUGGUGGAGAGAGGGCUAUGGGGCACAGAGUGCAGGGCUGAAAUUCCAGCUCCAUCCGGCCCCGUAACUUUGGGCAAGGCACUUACUUUCUGUUAGCCUUCUCUAUAAAACUAAAAGAUCGGCUGCUUCCUGAGUGAGGUUGUAUAUGUUAGAAGAAAUUUCCAGCAUUUGAGUACAAAGCAAGCACUCAAACAUAAGCUCCACUAUCUUCUGUCACAUAAGGCCCCAUAAAGCCUGGUUUAAAAGCACUACAGAUAAAUCUACAGGAACAAAAAAUGUCUGCCAAGCAUGAGAGUCAGAAAUGCAGUCAGUGGAGCCACUCCUGGUCCUACUGUUUUCUGAUAAUUCAACUCACACAGAGCUUUCAGACAUCCCCACCGAUGCUCCAGCAAAUGAGAAACUCACUAGAUCUGGAUGAAGGGACCCUUAAACUCCCAACAGGCAUUGGGAGUAUGUAACCGCUUAGAGGUGAUGUCUUAGGAGCAACAGAAGAGGCAAGAACCGAGCAGAAAGCAGGCUCCGCACACCCGCCAGCAGACCAGCACACAGCCUAAGUGCCCUCGAGAUUAGGGUGUCCAUCUACACUGCAUGCUAUAAAAGAGGCCAUGUCUUGGUUUUGUCAUCCUGCUGUGGGCCACUUAAAGGUCUCAAGGUACCUGAUCCCCUUUGUGCGUUGAUUAAGCAGUUGGCCAGGACAGAGACAGGAUUUGAACCUUUUGCCUUUUUUCUUAAGAUGCACCCUGAUACCAAACGGCGGGCACCCCAAGGAGCAGGUCAGACAUGGGACCAGGGCCCAGCACCAGGUGCUCACCCUGGUCUCUGUCCCCUCCCUCCUUCGCUCCUGGCAUUGGGAAAUUGUCCUGGGAGAACCAGAACCAAACUCACAUGCUGCCUGGAAUUAUGACCAAGGUGGCACAGUUGGACUUGUGUUACCACCUCCCCGACGUUCUUGGGGCCAUUGCCCACAUUACGAGAGAGUAGAGAGAAUUCCCCAUCUACAGGGACAGUGAUGGAAAGGAGAGGGGAAGAAGGGGCAGUUCGUGAGGCUUCUUUGGAAAAGGAAGGUUUCCAGGAAUGAAGAACACUCAUCAUUCUUUUCCUGAUAACCCCUCUGCUACUAGGAUCUCAUACUCAUUACCCUCUUCCUAACUGAUAAGGAAGGCUGAGGAUCAUUCCAGAACCUGGGAGAAGAGGAAAGAUCUGACAGAACUCACCCAGUCUGCCAGGGUGAAGGUGUGUUUUGCUGAAUAAGACCAGAGACAACAACUAACUUGGAUUUCUGUCCUUACCUGGAGAAGCGGCUGCAGGAUAAUUGGCAUCCUACUGAGAAAGCGGAAAGGGGAGCAAGUUGGCCCCGCCCACUGGUGCUGACCCGCCCGUUCGGAGGUCUUUGUCACUCUUAGCAAAACCAGGGUCAGCGAGAGAGGAGGUGAAAGGGGGAGAGCUGAAACGCCUCCAGUCUCAUACAUCCCAGACAGCUAGGUUUUAGAACCAACCAUUUGAUUCCUCCUCA